AUGCCUUCACCGACAAGAACGUCGUGUUCAGAAAACUCAAAACCAAAUCUAAAAACAAGUCAUGUUUUGAUUGUAAUGCAAAGAAUCCGACCUGGGCGUUGGUACCGUAUGGGAUCUUCCUCUGCAUUAAAUGAUGAUGAAGUUGAUGGUAAUUUGAGGAAUCAUCAUAAUCAUGUUACUAAAGAGAAUUGUGAUUCUUUGUCUUCUGUUAUCACUUACAACAUAGUGAGGAACAUAAUAUGA